ACAGAAACUGUGAGAAAUGGUUUGACGAGUGAGAUGUUGUAUGUGGAUGACUUGGUUUUGACAAGCGAUACGAUGGAGGGACUGAGGGAGAAGUUUUGGAAAUGGAAAGAAGCAUUCAAGAGCAAGGGGCUGAAGGUGAAGUGACUGUGAGCAAGAUAGAUCCAUGUGGCAUUUGUGGGAAGCGAGUAAUGGCAAUUCUGUGUUAUUUGUGAAAUGCAGGAAAUGAAUCCAUGGAAGAUGUGCAAAAGUAAAGAGGGUGACCCUGAGGUUGGGGAGAGAUUUUGUGUGUGGAAGAUGCAAGAAGCAAGCUGAUGGAUUUAUGGAUUCAGUGGAGGAGUUGUGUGAAGAGGUGGA